rnacentral:lncRNA from 1 species
AUGCCUCUGUGGACUUCACCAAGAAAGACUGGGGUUGCUGGACUCUGUUCAGAGGAAGCUGCACGGAGCUGUGAUGCUGGAGAAUUACCGCCCCUUUGUCUCAGCGGAGACUUGAAUGAAACUUUUGUGGAAAAUGAAGAUAAAGUACUUACGUUAUCUGUUACCUCAGGAGCUUUCCUGCUGGCAAAUUUUGGACCAGGUGGCUUAGUACAGUAAGGAGGAGUCAGAAUUAAAUUGUGAAUAUUCAGAGGGAGGUGUAAGUAACCCUGAACUGGAUCUUUCUACUUGUCAGAAGUGGAGAAAAGUAUCUUCUCAUAUUUCCAGGAACCACAAGCAGUGUGGUGACUCUUCA